GAUGAACGCUGGCGGCGUGCCUAAUACAUGCAAGUCGAGCGAACAGACGAGGAGCUUGCUCCUCUGACGUUAGCGGCGGACGGGUGAGUAACACGUGGAUAACCUACCUAUAAGACUGGGAUAACUUCGGGACACCGGAGCUAAUACCGGAUAAUAUAUUGAACCGCAUGGUUCAAUAGUGAAAGACGGUUUUGCUGUCACUUAUAGAUGGAUCCGCGCCGCAUUAGCUAGUUGGUAAGGUAACGGCUUACCAAGGCAACGAUGCGUAGCCGACCUGAGAGGGUGAUCGGCCACACGGGAACUGAGACACGGUCCAGACUCCUACGGGAGGCAGCAGUAGGGAAUCUUCCGCAAUGGGCGAAAGCUUGACGGAGCAACGCCGCGUGAGUGAUGAAGGUCUUCGGAUCGUAAAACUCUGUUAUUAGGGAAGAACAAAUGUGUAAGUAACUAUGCACGUCUUGACGGUACCUAAUCAGAAAGCCACGGCUAACUACGUG
rnacentral:rRNA from 1 species